rnacentral:rRNA from 1 species
GCUCCUAGUACGAGAGGACCGGAGUGGACGAACCUCUGGUGUUCGGGUUGUGUCGCCAGACGCAUUGCCCGGUAGCUAAGUUCGGGAUCGAUAACCGCUGAAAGCAUCUAAGCGGGAAGCGAGCCCUGAGAUGAGUCUUCCCUGAUACUUUAAGUAUCCUAAAGGGUUGUUCGAGACUAGAACGUUGAUAGGCAGGGUGUGUAAGCGUUGUGAGGCGUUGAGCUAACCUGUACUAAUUGCCCGUGAGGCUUAACCAU